AGUGAACGCUGGCGGUAGGCCUAACACAUGCAAGUCGAACGGCAGCACAGUAAGAGCUUGCUCUUACGGGUGGCGAGUGGCGGACGGGUGAGGAAUACAUCGGAAUCUACUUUUUCGUGGGGGAUAACGUAGGGAAACUUACGCUAAUACCGCAUACGACCUACGGGUGAAAGCAGGGGAUCUUCGGACCUUUCGCGAUUGAAUGAGCCGAUUUCGGAUUAGCUAGUUGGCGGGGUAAAGGCCCACCAAGGCGACGAUCCGUAGCUGGUCUGAGAGGAUGAUCAGCCACACUGGAACUGAGACACGGUCCAGACUCCUACGUGAGGCAGCAGUGGGGAAUAUUGGACAAUGGGCGCAAGCCUGAUACAGCCAUACCGCGUGGGUGAAGAAGGCCUUCGGGUUGUAAAGCCCUUUUGUUGGGAAAGAAAAGCAGCAGGUUAAUACCCCGCUGUUCUGACGGUACCCAAAGAAUAAGCACCGGCUAACUUCGUG
rnacentral:rRNA from 1 species